rnacentral:rRNA from 1 species
UGGGGAAUUUUGGACAAUGGGGGAAACCCUGAUCCAGCCAUCCCGCGUGUGCGAUGAAGGCCUUCGGGUUGUAAAGCACUUUUGGCAGGAAAGAAACGUCAUGGGUUAAUACCCUGUGAAACUGACGGUACCUGCAGAAUAAGCACCGGCUAACUACGUGCCAGCAGCCGCGGUAAUACGUAGGGUGCAAGCGUUAAUCGGAAUUACUGGGCGUAAAGCGUGCGCAGGCGGUUCGGAAAGAAAGAUGUGAAAUCCCAGAGCUCAACUUUGGAACUGCAUUUUUAACUACCGGGCUAGAGUGUGGCAGAGGGAGGUGGAAUUCCGCGUAUAGCAGUGAAAUGCGUAGAUAUGCGGAGGAACACCGAUGGCGAAGGCAGCCUCCUGGGAUAACACAGACGCUCAUGCACGAAAGCGUGGAGAGCAAACAGG